rnacentral:rRNA from 1 species
CGGGUUAAGUCCCAUUAACGAGCGCAACCCUUAUCGUUAGUUGCCAUCUGGUAAUGCAGGGGACUCUAGCGAAACUGCCACCGUAAGGUGAGAGGAAGGUGGGAUGACGUCAAAUCAGCACGGCCCUUAUGUCCAGGGCUACACACGUGUUACAAUGGUCGGUACAGAGGGCAGCUACCUGGUGACAGGAUGCUAAUCUCGAAAACCGGUCUCAGUUCGGAUCGAAGUCUGCAACUCGACUUUGUGAAGCUGGAUUCGCUAGUAAUCGCGCAUCAGCUAUGGCGCGGUGAAUACGUUCCCGGGCCUU